AGAUUGCUCUAUCAGAGUGAGGUAGUAGAUUGUAUAGUUGUGGGGUAGUGAUUUUACCCUGUUCAGGAGAUAACUAUACAAUCUAUUGCCUUCCCUGAGGAGUAGAC
rnacentral:pre_miRNA from 1 species